rnacentral:rRNA from 1 species
GAGCACGUAGGUGGGUUUGUAAGUCAGACGUGAAAGCCUUCUGUUCAACGGAAGAAUUGCAUCUGAAACUACAAACCUUGAGUGUAGGAGGAGAGAAUGGAACUUCUGGUGGAGCGGUGAAAUGCGUAGAUAUCAGAAGGAACGCCGGCGGCGAAAGCGAUUCUCUGGCCUAUUACUGACACUCAGUGUGCGAAAGCUAGGGGAGCAAACGGGAUUAGAUACCCCGGUAGUCCUAGCCGUAGACGAUGGGCACUAAGUAGAGGGGUUUUAA